ACAGAGUGCUGUGGGUGAGGGUUUGCACUUGCACAUAUAAGGAGUGGAAAGCUGCGAGAUUCUGCUCUUGCACAAAUGGCCUCCCCACAGAGCACAGACUGCCACAUCCCCUUCUGUUCCAAGGUGUUAGGUUUUUAAAACCUAGCAGUGAUUGUGACACUGUUUUUUUUCCCUCCCACUAUGUUGUUUAUCUUGUCAGACUUAGGCGCAAGGGCUGAACUCCCUGCGCAGUAUCAUCCCCUGGGCUUGGUGGGUUUGGAGAAGGCAAGUGGGGCAGGUGAAGUGAGCUGGUUGCUUCAGGAACUGCAGUCUUCUUGGUGGGUCAGGAUCAACUUGUGUUUUGUUUUGGGGGUACUGACCUUGAUAAGCCAUGUCUUUACAUAUUGAGAGCCAGUAGGUGGCAUGAUUAUUAAUUAGGAAUAAGCUUUCAUAAGUUUUUAUCUAAUAAUUUUUAUUUCACAACAUUCUUGUGAAGUAGGUCACUCACUACUGUUAUUAAAAUUGUAUGAGGAAAGUAAUUAAGUCACAAAGAGUGACUUGCCCAUAGUUAGAAAUCAAGUCUAAAGUAGUUAGAAUAGUAAUUAAUAAUCAGAUGUUAUAAAGCAUUUUAUAUUUAGCAGGAAUGUAGAACCUUCUAUUAUUAUAAUUUACCGUUAAUUGUAGUAUUUUAGUUUGGGAUGGAGGAAAACUUCCUGGGACUGGACAAGUUUGUAAAUUAUGAAAUGUGAUAACUUUUAGAGGAAUGUCGGGGAAAUAAUACAGAAUCCACCCCCCUGCCCUUGCCUGCAAUUUUAGUUGUUAAGACAAGAACAUCUUAUAUAGUUCGUUGCAAAGAUGGCAGUAUGUCUCUUGAGCAAACAGCUGUUGUGUGUUGCUAAGGGAGCUUACUAGACGUGAUGCCGUUGUCUACUAGUCAGCUUUUUGAAAGUUUCCUUUUGCCCUUUGCCCUUCAACCCAGAUGUCUGGAAUUGCAGGAACCUACUUGGCUAAUGCAGGCUAAAUUUAUAAAUAUCAGAAAGGAAAUUUUAACUGAGUUUACUGCGAUGGAACUUGUUCACAGAAGAUGUAUAUGUUUAUGUGUGUGUGUGUGUGUGUGUGUGUGUGUGUGAAAUAAAAUCUUUUUUUUUUUUCCCUCACCUGUCUCCUCCUGUAGAGAUUUUUGUCUGAUUCACUGCUGUAUCUUCAGCAUCUAGAAUAAUGAAUGGUACUCAAUAAAUAUUUGUCAAAUAGGUACUAAAUUCCGGAGUUCUUUUUUUUAACCUGUUAUUUUUUUCAGUAUGGGGAAUACUCAGAUACUAUAGAAUUUAUAGUGGUAGAACUCUAGUUGACAUCAGCCAUUCUCUCACAUCACAGGGACCCGUGUUUUGUACUAUUGACACAGUAGUGCUUUAAUGGCACAGGCUUUGGAAACAAAUUAACAGGGUCCAAAUCUGGUUCUGAUGCAUUCGAUCUGAAUGACAUUGGAUAAAUUACCAUGCUUUCCCAUCUAUAAAAUGAGAACAACAUAAUAUCUAUCACAGAGGGUUGUUUUGAGCCAUGUUAAGCUCUCAGAACAGUUCCUGGUGCAUAGUAUAUGUUCAGUAUGUUAGUGGUUACUGUUUUUGUUCCAGACCCAUCCCAGCUGUUCUGAGUCCAUUGUACUCUGAGUGGCAAUACUGAGAACCGAUUUAGGGUGUCCUCCUUAUCACCAAGUCUCUUUGUCCUUUAAAAACAUCGUGGGUAUGUUAGGUCCUCUUUUCUACCCUUCACCUCCAUCUCUCUCUUAUCCUGCUUAAUCUUUAUACUAACGACAUUGUUUUAUAUAUUCAGAUUUUCCCUCUUUUCCUUUUUUUCUCUCUUAGCAAGUAUUUAUUAAGCAUUACUUUUUCCUUCCCCAUUCUGUUUUAAAUCUUGCUGUUUCUUUUUCAUUGUCUUCAUGUCUUUGUUUCAUUAUCAAAUAAAAAAUUACCUAACUUGUGGUUGAUUGAUUAGAAUUACUUUUGUAUCAGGGAAAAUGGAAAUCAAAUGUUGAAAUAAGAUUGAAAUUUUUUUUU